rnacentral:lncRNA from 1 species
AGCAGCCAGUGCUCUUCACUACUGAGCCAUCUCUCCAUUCCUGCAUAUAUUCUUAUUUUUAAGGAAAUUAUUAUUAUUGAGCAGCCUGUACAGGGCAGAUACAUAGGGUAUUAGUCAGAUUACUAUUGCUGUGACAACACUCCUGAGACAAUAAAAUUAGAAGCAAGAGAGGUUUACUUUGACCCAAAAUCCCAGAGAUUUCAAACCAUAGGCAUUUGACUCCACUGCAUCGGGUCUGUGGUGAGUCAGGGCUUUAGAGUGGGGAGGCAUUAGAACACAUGACAGAGAAAGAGAGAGAGAGCAGAGAAAGGAAGAGAGCCAAGAGGGAGGGAGAAAGAAGG